UGCUGACGCGAACAGCGAUGAGGGAAGGUGGAGCGGAUCACCUUUCAGAAGCAGUAGAUGUGCAGUGGAUUUGAUUCCCUUCUGGAUUAUCUAAGAGACCCUUUCCACUGACAGCAAUAUCAAACAGCAUGAAGCCACUGAUGGGAAAAGCUGACAAAAAAGAUGGCAGAGAUGUCAACAAUACAUGACAGUUGCUCCAGACUAGGCCAUCAACAUAGUAAGUGUUCCAGACAUCCAGAUGAAGGUGAAGGCAUGGCCAACUGGAAAGAGCAUGAAAAGCUUUGCAGAGGAAUCAAGAUGGUGGUCUUACGCCAAAGCAGAACAUUGAGAGAACUUUUCUCCAUUUGGUAUGAAAUAUUAUGAGGGCUGUUAAGAGACCUCCUAUUAAGCCAUGUAAAUCUUUUUCAAAGUUGUUAUGCUUUGCUAAAUCUUUCUGCAUAGAAAGAAGUUGCCUCAAAGAAGUUAGCAUAGUUAAAGCACCGAGAGAUACGCAUGUAUUUUGUCAGCUACCCUCAGUAUCUGCAUGAAGGACGCUUACAAUCCUUAAAUGAUUCUAGCAUAUAUAGAGCUUAUUAAUUGGUAUCAAGUGAAAUAUGGUCUUUAAAAUGAGAUCUUCUAGAUUGUAAUCGAUAACAGGACCGACCACACCUAAAACCAAAGUCAUGAACUUGUUUUAUCUUAGUAGCGACACUGAGGCAGUGUCACAUAGAAGGCUGCCAGAAUUAAUUAAAAAUCAGUUAAAACUUGUCUAAUUGGAUUAGAGACUCACUAUAUUUAAUUUUCUUCUCAAAAAUAAGCCAACUUCAGCCAUUAGCAAACUGGAAUAUUAUAUAUAAAUAGUUUAAUUCCUGGAGAAAAAAUGCAAAUCUAAAUUACUGUAUGUUGGGGUUAAUCUUCCAGUUUUGAGAGGAAGAGAGAAAGCACAAGUGUGUGCACAUGUAUGCACAAAACGGGUUGAGAUUCCAUGCUCAUCUUUUCAAGGAAAAACUUGUUAGCAUUUGUUUUCAGCACAAAGGAUGAUAUUUUCACUUGCCUGCAUAUUUUUUCACAAUGAAAGAAAAUUUUUACAACUUUCAUUUUAAAAAACUGUAUUUUACAAUUUAAAAAUUUCCUAUCCAAAUGUAGCCCUAAUGAAUAUAGAUUCAGGAGUCUACUUUUCUAAUCCCGAUUUCCUGAUUAAUGCUAGAAGCCACCAAUCCUUGGAUUUUAUCCCAAAAAUCCAGUUUAAUACUGUUUUCCCCUACACGAUGCAGGGAUGUAUUUUUAAUGUUUAGACCAAAAAGUUAUAUACUUUGAUACAGCAAGGACCACUUGGUUAAUCUCGACAUGCAACAGCAAUUUUAUUAACCUAGAAUGUGUGAGAUUUAACGCAGGUGAACAAUUAUCUGAGAUUUGCUGGAGCUUGAUAAGAGGUUGUAAGUUAAUUACCUCCUUUUGUAGAUGGAGUUUGAAGAAACUGUUUGGUUUUGAAGGCAGCACGAGGCAAAUUUUUCUGCCUUUGCAGAGCUGUUGAAAGACAAGAAGUGUUAUAUUUGUCUAAGAAGAUAAGAAAACUAAAUUUACUGGGAAUUUCAGAAUUGCAUCCACUUGUGAAUCAUCAAGGAACAGAGUGAGUAAAACACUCAAAAAGCUGUUAUGACUCUGGAAGUGAUGGGUUUAAAUGGUGCUUGCUCUUGAUGGCAAAGAGUUACAGAGGAGCGUGUCAGAAAUUUUGCAGUGCAAAACGCGCAGAUUCUGUAAGAGUAAAGCUUCUUGCAGGGCAAAAAGCCCAGAAAGGCAAAAAAAAUUAAUACACCAAAGGGAGAACAAGCCACCUAGCAAACAUGCCACAGCAAUAUGAGUGCAAGAUUAGAUACAAAGAUGAAAAUUAAACUGUCAUAUUUGACCUAGCAAGACUAAAAUUUCGAAGGAGUUUUCAAAAAAAUUUCUAACACUACACAAAAGCAUAAAUAUUUGUCUAAA